rnacentral:rRNA from 1 species
CGGGAGGCCCAAACGUUUAUUCGGAAUUACUGGGCUUAAAGAGUUCGUAGGCGGCAUUGCAAGUAGGGUGUGAAAGCCCUCGGCUCAACCGAGGAAUUGCGCUCUAAACUGCAGUGCUUGAGGAACCUAGAGGUGAGCAGAACAGAUGGUGGAGCGGUGAAAUGCGUUGAUAUCAUCUGGAAUACCGGAGGCGAAGGCGGCUCACUGGGAGUUUUCUGACGCUGAGGAACGAAAGCCAGGGUAGCGAACGGGAUUAGAUACCCCGGUAGUCCUGGCCGUAAACGAUGAGCACUAGGCCGGAGCCCUGCACAGGGUUUCGGCCGUAGCUAAAGUGUUAAGUGCUCCGCCUGGGGAGUAUGGUCGCAAGGCUG